rnacentral:rRNA from 1 species
UACGAAGGGGGCUAGCGUUGCUCGGAAUCACUGGGCGUAAAGGGUGCGUAGGCGGGUCUUAAGUCAGGGGUGAAAUCCCACGGCCCAACCGUGGAAGUGCCUUGGAUACUGAUGACCUCGAGGGGGGUAGGGGCGUGCGGAACUCGAGGGUGGAGCGGUGAAAUGCGUAGAUAUCCUGAGGAACACCGGUGGCGAAGGCGGGUCUCUGGGCCGAUACUGACGCUGAGGAGCGAAAGCGUGGGGAGCGAACAGG